rnacentral:rRNA from 1 species
CCUACGGGUGGCAGCAGUGAGGAAUAUUGGUCAAUGGGCGCGAGCCUGAACCAGCCAAGUAGCGUGAAGGAUGACUGCCCUACGGGUUGUAAACUUCUUUUAUAAGGGAAUAAAGUGUGGGACGUGUCCUAUUUUGUAUGUACCUUAUGAAUAAGGAUCGGCUAACUCCGUGCCAGCAGCCGCGGUAAUACGGAGGAUCCGAGCGUUAUCCGGAUUUAUUGGGUUUAAAGGGUGCGUAGGCGGCCUUUUAAGUCAGCGGUGAAAGUCUGUGGCUCAACCAUAGAAUUGCCGUUGAAACUGGGGGGCUUGAGUAUGUUUGAGGCAGGCGGAAUUCGUGGUGUAGCGGUGAAAUGCUUAGAUAUCACGAAGAACCCCGAUUGCGAAGGCAGCUUACUAAACUGUGACUGACAUUGAUGCUCGAAAGUGUGGGUAUCAAACAGGAUUAGAUACCCGAGUAGUC